rnacentral:rRNA from 1 species
CCUACGGGUGGCAGCAGUGAGGAAUAUUGGUCAAUGGACGAGAGUCUGAACCAGCCAAGUAGCGUGAAGGAUGACUGCCCUAUGGGUUGUAAACUUCUUUUAUAAAGGAAUAAAACGAGGCACGUGUGCCUUUUUGCAUGUACUUUAUGAAUAAGGAUCGGCUAACUCCGUGCCAGCAGCCGCGGUAAUACGGAGGAUCCGAGCGUUAUCCGGAUUUAUUGGGUUUAAAGGGAGCGUAGAUGGGUUGUUAAGUCAGUUGUGAAAGUUUGCGGCUCAACCGUAAAAUUGCAAGUGAUACUGGCAGUCUUGAGUACAGUUGAGGUAGGCGGAAUUCGUGGUGUAGCGGUGAAAUGCUUAGAUAUCACGAAGAACCCCGAUUGCGAAGGCAGCUUACUAAACUGUAACUGACACUGAGGCACGAAAGCGUGGGGAGCAAACAGGAUUAGAUACCCUAGUAGUC